rnacentral:tRNA from 5 species
UUCUUCAACUACAGGAACUCUA